UUUUUUUUUGGUAUUUU
rnacentral:sRNA from 1 species